GAUGAAGAACGUAGUGAAAUGCGAUAAGUAGUGUGAAUUGCAGAAUUCAGUGAAUCAUCGAAUCUUUGAACGCACAUUGCGCCCCUUGGUAUUCCAUGGGGCAUGCCUGUUCGAGCGUCAUUUGUACCUUCAAGCUCUGCUUGGUGUUGGGUGUUUGUCUCGCCUCUGCGUGUAGACUCGCCUCAAAAUAAUUGGCAGCCGGCGUAUUGAUUUCGGAGCGCAGUACAUCUCGCGCUUUGCACUCAUAACGACGACUUCCAAAAGUACAUUUUUACACUCUUGACCUCGGAUCAGGUAGGGAUACCCGCUGAACUUAAGCAUAUCAAUAAGCGGAGGA
rnacentral:misc_RNA from 1 species